UACGUAGGUGGCAAGCGUUGUCCGGAUUUACUGGGCGUAAAGAGCGCGCAGGCGGUCGGUCAAGUCGCGUGUGAAAGCCCCCGGCUCAACUGGGGAGGGUCAGCGCGAUACUGAUCGACUCGAAGGCAGGAGAGGGUAGUGGAAUUCCCGGUGUAGUGGUGAAAUGCGUAGAUAUCGGGAGGAACACCAGUGGCGAAGGCGACUACCUGGCCUGUUCUUGACGCUGAGGCGCGAAAGCUAGGGGAGCAAACGGG
rnacentral:rRNA from 1 species